UAGGGAAUCUUCCACAAUGGACGCAAGUCUGAUGGAGCAACGCCGCGUGAGUGAAGAAGGUUUUCGGAUCGUAAAGCUCUGUUGUUGGUGAAGAAGGAUAGAGGUAGUAACUGGCCUUUAUUUGACGGUAAUCAACCAGAAAGUCACGGCUAACUACGUGCCAGCAGCCGCGGUAAUACGUAGGUGGCAAGCGUUGUCCGGAUUUAUUGGGCGUAAAGCGAGCGCAGGCGGUUUGAUAAGUCUGAUGUGAAAGCCUUUGGCUUAACCAAAGAAGUGCAUCGGAAACUGUCAGACUUGAGUGCAGAAGAGGACAGUGGAACUCCACGUGUAGCGGUGGAAUGCGUAGAUAUAUGGAAGAACACCAGUGGCGAAGGCGGCUGUCUGGUCUGCAACUGACGCUGAGGCUCGAAAGCAUGGGUAGCGAACAGGAUUAGAUACCCUGGUAGU
rnacentral:rRNA from 1 species